AAAACCAGUUGACAAUCCAAUGGCCAGUGAAGUUGAAAAUCUGGAAAUGUCCUCUUUAAAGACCACACCAAACCAACCCAUCAAGAACGAACCGACCUUUAGCAGCCAAAAGAAAAUUGUAUGAGGUCAAUAUAACAAAAUACAAUUCUGGUUUGAGCUUCUAAAGAAAAUUGUAUGAGGUCAAUAUAACAAAAUACAAUUCUGGUUUGAGCUUUUAUUAACUCACGACCUUGCUGAUCAAGGAUAUAUGGAAUUUCAGUUACAUAUGAAUAUUCACAUAUGAAAACUACAAGAACUGAGUAUAGUACUAACUAUGUCUUUCACAAUGUCUUAUUCUG
rnacentral:lncRNA from 1 species